CCGUUAUGGUGACUUCUGUACAGAGCCACGUGUCUGGGCCCUUGGAGUCUCAGUGGAUGGGAGGGCGAUACGG
rnacentral:snoRNA from 1 species